rnacentral:rRNA from 1 species
AUACGGAAGGUCCGGGCGUUAUCCGGAUUUAUUGGGUUUAAAGGGAGCGCAGGCUGAUGAUUAAGCGUGACGUGAAAUGUAGCCGCUCAACGGCUGAACUGCGUCGCGAACUGGUUAUCUUGAGUGAGUUCGAUGUUGGCGGAAUUCGUGGUGUAGCGGUGAAAUGCUUAGAUAUCACGAAGAACUCCGAUUGCGAAGGCAGCUAACAAGGCCUUUACUGACGCUAAAGCUCGAAGGUGCGGGUAUCGAACAGGAUUAGAUACCCUGGUAGUCCGCACGGUAAACGAUGGAUGCCCGCUGUUUGCGAUAUACUGUGAGCGGCCAAGAGAAAUCGUUAAGCAUCCCACCUGGGGAGUACGCCGGCAACGGUGAAACUCAAAUGAAUUGACGGGG